CAGAGGAAGGCUGGUGUCUACGCAGUACAGCUCUGAUAGAGAGAGAGAGAACGAGAGAGCGAACAGCCGAGCGAGAGAAGGAGAAAGCCAGGCAGAGUGAGAGUGAGACGGAGACUGAGCGAGAGGGCAGUAGCUUCAGUGGACACCCUGCCAGCCUCAUCUCCAGCCCCUGAAAUGUUCAUCAUCUGCUCCAUUAUUUAAUCAGCACACGUGCUUCUCUUGCACUCCUCCUUUUUCCCAACACUCUGCUUGUUUUUUUCUGCCUAUCGUUGGAUCUACACCAGUAUGUGUGAGUGUGUUUGAGAGUGUGUGUGAGAGAGUGUGUGUGUACCGUCACUUCUCACUGGACUGCUGGACCAACAUGGAUAUCUAUUCUAGGAUUCCACUAGAGUGGGACGGGGGUCUGUUGUUCCAGGGAGGUUCUAUGGUAGUGCUCACUGAGCCAGCUACAGCCACAGCUACAACUAGAGGAGAGGACCGACUGUCACAACAGAACUGACUGUAUUUACAAUUCAGUCCUCUUUACUUACUACGAGAAGGAGGAAGGAGUGUUGGGAAGUCUUCCUCUGCUCAGCUUUGGGAUUGGAGGAGUGCAGACGUCGGAUAACAUCAGCCGAAAGCACGCCUUUAAGGUUUGGUACGAGGAAGAGGAGGAAGGUGAGAUUAAGGGCCACAUGUUUCUGUAUGCAGGCUGAACACGCAGGAACACGCACGUCUACUUCAGCGCUGAGACUGCUGAGGAAACAGGAGGAGUGGGUCGACGCUAUGAACGAGGCAGUCCACAUACUCCCUUCAUGGAGGACCACCAACUCCGAGCCACCACGCCCACAGCGGAACUCCAUGGUACACCUUGGUAACCAAAGGACCUGAACCACACACCCAGACACACACACACAUCGAGGACAACAGCCAGACGACGGACUUCCAAGACGCAGAGCGCGGACCACGAAAACCGCCCAUCACAAGGUCAACGGGGUUGGCGCCAUGGAGAACGCCCCUUCCCCUCCACCAGCAACUCAGAGCAGGAGGGGAGGAUGGAGGGAGAGAGGACAGGAGGGCCUGGACUGGGGUGCACACCAUCCUCAUCACAACCCAAUGGGUGGACCCUACGGUCCCCCAAACGGACCCCCCAGGGUAACGGGCGGCCGCUCCAGGGACCUCCAGAGGGAGGGAUGAGAGAGGGGAGGGAGGUGAGGGGAGCAGC